rnacentral:ncRNA from 1 species
UCGCCAGGGGUGCAUAACGCUGAGAAGAGGAUAUUGUAAAUUUGUAUGCAGUAUUCUUAAACCCUUAUUACUUGAUCCGGUUAAUACCGGCGGAAGGAGGCAUUC